rnacentral:rRNA from 1 species
GAUGAACGCUGGCGGAGUGCCUAAUACAUGCAAGUCGUGCGAACAGCUGAGGUGCUUGCUCCUCUGCAGUUAGCGGCGGUCGGGUGCGUAACAAGUGGAUACCCUACCUAUAAGACUGGGAUAACUUCGGGAAACCGGAGCUAAUACCGGAUUAUCUAUUGACCCGCAUGGUUCAAUAGUGAAAGAUGGUUUUGCUGUCCCUUACAGACGGUUCCGCGCUGCAUUAGCUAGUUGGUAAGGUAACGGUUUACCAAGGCGCCGAUGCCUAGCCGACAUGGGGAUGUGAGGUGGCACACUUGAACUGAGGAACGGUCCAGAGGCGUACGGGAGGCAGCAGUAAGGACUCUUCCGCGAUGGGCGAGAGCCUGACGGAGCAACGCCGCAAGAGUGAUGAAGGACUUCGGAGCGUAAAACGCAGUUAUUAGGAAAGAACAAAGGUUUAAGUAGCGAUGCACAACGUGACGGUACCUAAACAGAAAGCCACGGCUAACUACGUG